AUAAAUAGAUAUGACCAAGAGAUGCAAAGGUUUUCAUUCAAAAUACGCGAAGAAAGAGAACUUAGAUUUCAUAUAUUCACAAUCCCACAUCGAUAAAAUAGCGAAAAGUUAAGCACCUAAAAUACCCAAGUCUUGGUUUGUGUAUUGCCAAGCUUAGUCACAUGAGCUUGUGACCCAAUGUGGGGGCAUUAAGAAUGGUUUGGAAGGAGUAGGAGCCUGAGGACAACCUGCGGACGGAAUGUGCGCGCACAUGAGGGGCACAGUGGGCCCUUGUCGGCGUGCCAAUCUGGAUGCAAAGGAGGUAGGAAGAGGAAUUGGUCGCCCUGAAGUGCAGGCCGUUUCGGCUAGGCCAGCCCUGAAGUGCAGGCCGUCAAGAAUAUUCUUCCGCCUGUGAAGAUGGAAGAUGUAAUUUGCAGCAUGCUGUAAAGCUCGUUGGCUUACCAGAGCAGCGAGAAGACACUCUUACUGCAUUACUCCCUCCAGAGUGGAUCCUCACUCGCCGGCACCCCUCAUGUAGCCACCCACCGUGGGCCCCCACUCUUCAACCCCCGACGUCCAUCUUUUUGUGUAUGUGGUUUUCCUAAUAUAAGUUAAUAAUUAGAGGUUUAAUAAAAUGGAAUUUUU